AUUGAACGCUGGCGGCAUGCUUUACACAUGCAAGUCGAACGGUAACAGGCCUUCGGGUGCUGACGAGUGGCGAACGGGUGAGUAAUGCAUCGGAACGUACCCAGAGGUGGGGGAUAACGCAGCGAAAGCUGUGCUAAUACCGCAUGUGAUCUGAGGAUGAAAGCGGGGGACCGAGCAGCAAUGUUUGGCCUCGCGCCUUUGGAGCGGCCGAUGUCGGAUUAGCUAGUUGGUGGGGUAAAGGCCUACCAAGGCGACGAUCCGUAGCUGGUCUGAGAGGACGACCAGCCACACUGGGACUGAGACACGGCCCAGUCUCCUACGGGAGGCAGCAGUGGGGAAUUUUGGACAAUGGGCGCAAGCCUGAUCCAGCAAUGCCGCGUGCGGGAAGAAGGCCUUCGGGUUGUAAACCGCUUUUGGCAGGAACGAAACGGUGUCCGCUAAUACCGGGCGCUAAUGACGGUACCUGCAGAAUAAGCACCGGCUAACUACGUG
rnacentral:rRNA from 1 species